UUCGGGACAUGAGGCCACCACUGUCAGUAGUGACCGCUCUGCGAAGGCUUCUUCCUACCCUCUCUUCCUGUCUAUCGGUGAGGAGGCCAGCUCCUCUCUACCGAGCCUGUCCUCACGAUGUGCCAAUUUUAUGUACUUUCAGUGACUUUCAUUCAGCAAAGAUUUAUCGAUUGGCCUCUAUGAGCUGAUGGCGAGCAAGAGGGGCAGAAUCCUUCACCUCACGUAGUUCACGGUCUGCUGGAGAAUCACAAACGGUGGGGAGAGGGGGAAAGAAGAGGGUCUCGAGCAGAAGGAACAACACACAUAACCUGCUCAUGGAAGGAACUCAAUCAAUUUUUGUUGAAGAAAAUAUUGAAAAUUUAAUUUACAAACGAACUUUGAGUUGCAGCUGGAGUCCUCUGGGCCUACUUCAUCUUCAAAUGCACACUCUCAAAAUUAUGGUAAAAUUCUCAAAAUUAAAAAGUGAUAUUGGCAAAGUU